rnacentral:tRNA from 1 species
GCGCGGGUGGUGAAAUCGGUAGACACGCUAGCUUGAGGGGCUAGUGGGGGCAACCCCGUGCGAGUUCAAGUCUCGCCCCGCGCACCA